GAUGAACGCUGGCGGCGUGCCUAAUACAUGCAAGUCGAGCGAACGGACGAGAAGCUUGCUUCUCUGAUGUUAGCGGCGGACGGGUGAGUAACACGUGGAUAACCUACCUAUAAGACUGGGAUAACUUCGGGAAACCGGAGCUAAUACCGGAUGAUAUUUUGAACCGCAUGGUUCAAAAGUGAAAGACGGUCUUGCUGUCACUUAUAGAUGGAUCCGCGCUGCAUUAGCUAGUUGGUAAGGUAACGGCUUACCAAGGCAACGAUGCAUAGCCGACCUGAGAGGGUAACAGGCCACCCUGGAACUGAGACACGGUCCAGACUCCUACGGGAGGCAGCAGUAGGGAAUCUUCCGCAAUGGGCGAAAGCCUGACGGAGCAACGCCGCGUGAGUGAUGAAGGUCUUCGGAUCGUAAAACUCUGUUAUUAGGGAAGAACAUAUGUGUAAGUAACUGUGCACAUCUUGACGGUACCUAAUCAGAAAGCCACGGCUAACUACGUG
rnacentral:rRNA from 1 species